rnacentral:rRNA from 1 species
CGGUAGCACAGAGAGCUUGCUCUCGGGUGACGAGCGGCGGACGGGUGAGUAAUGUCUGGGAAACUGCCUGAUGGAGGGGGAUAACUACUGGAAACGGUAGCUAAUACCGCAUAACGUCGCAAGACCAAAGUGGGGGACCUUCGGGCCUCAUGCCAUCAGAUGUGCCCAGAUGGGAUUAGCUAGUAGGUGGGGUAACGGCUCACCUAGGCGACGAUCCCUAGCUGGUCUGAGAGGAUGACCAGCCACACUGGAACUGAGACACGGUCCAGACUCCUACGGGAGGCAGCAGUGGGGAAUAUUGCACAAUGGGCGCAAGCCUGAUGCAGCCAUGCCGCGUGUGUGAAGAAGGCCUUCGGGUUGUAAAGCACUUUCAGCGGGGAGGAAGGCGGUGAGGUUAAUAACCUUGUCGAUUGACGUUACCCGCAGAAGAAGCACCGGCUAACUCCGUGCCAGCAGCCGCGGUAAUACGGAGGGUGCAAGCGUUAAUCGGAAUUACUGGGCGUAAAGCGCACGCAGGCGGUCUGUCAAGUCGGAUGUGAAAUCCCCGGGCUCAACCUGGGAACUGCAUUCGAAACUGGCAGGCUAGAGUCUUGUAGAGGGGGGUAGAAUUCCAGGUGUAGCGGUGAAAUGCGUAGAGAUCUGGAGGAAUACCGGUGGCGA